UCCGAUUUGUCACCGGCAGUCUCCUAUGAGUCCCCGACAUAACUCGCUGGCAACAUAGGACAGGGGUUGCGCUCGUUGCGGGACUUAACCCAACAUCUCACGACACGAGCUGGCGACAGCCAUGCAGCACCUUGCACUCUGCCAAGUCUUACCUUGGAGGCCCUAUCUCUAGGGUUGUCAGAGGCAUUCUAGCCCAGGUAAGGUUCUUCGCGUUGCGUCGAAUUAAACCACAUGCUCCACCGCUUGUGCGGGUCCCCGUCAAUUCCUUUGAGUUUUAGCCUUGCGGCCGUACUCCCCAGGCGGGGCACUUAAUGCGUUAGCUUCGGCACAGGAGGAGUCGACACCUCCCACACCUAGUGCCCAUCGUUUACGGCGUGGACUAC
rnacentral:misc_RNA from 1 species